ACGUGACCCGAUGGCCGCCGUGGGAUUGGUUGUUCGGCGAGAGCCGCGCUAGGCUGUAAGACCUGAGCCGGGCGGAGAAGCAAAGGAGAGGGAAGCUGGAAGCACCUUUGGCCCGGGACAGAAAUCUGGAGAGCUUGGCUACCUCCAUCCUCCUCAGGCCGGAGCAGGCUUCCUGAGAGAGUCCAGGUCGUAGGAGUUUUACGACUUAGAAAAGCGGGCUGCAGAUUCCUUCCUGGGUGUUUGGUUCAAGCCUUGGCUCCAGCCUCACUCUCAGUCUUCCCGGGAGUUCGUGGGAUUUGGACCUUAGAUUAUUAGUAUUAUUUUGAGGGCCUCCUGUGUGUAAGCACUGGUUGUGCGCAGAUGGCUGUGCAGAGGGCCAUGAGGUAGAGGCUGGGGAAAUGAGGGCUUGGAGGUGCUUGAGGUAUGGUCUUUACCUACGUGAAAUGUUGGAGGUUGAGAUGAAAACUCUUGCUUUGAAUUCUUCAUGGAGGACUACAUCAUUUCAAUCCUGAAUCUGGCUCAAUUCUAUUAUUCACUUAUUACUGUAUUAAAAACGUUUAAUUGGCCAGGCACAGUGGUUCACGCCUGUAAUCCCAGCACUUUGGGAGGCCAAGGCAGGCGGAUCACUUGAGGUCAGGAGUUCGACACCAGCCUGGCCAACAUGGCAAAACCCCGCCUCUACUAAAAAUACAAAAAUUAGCCAGGCGUGGUGGCACGCACCUGUAAUCACAGCUACUUAGGAGGCUGAGGUGGCAGAAUUGUUUGAACCCAGGAGGUGGAGGUUGCAGUGAGCCGAGAUCACACCACUGCACUCAAGCCUUGGCAUCAGAGUGAGACUCUGUCUCAGUAAAAAAAAAAUAAAUAAAUAAAAAUGUUUAAUUAACCAUGAUAUUUGCUUUGGUAAAACCUUUGAGGUUUAAUGAGAAUUUUAAAAUUCAUUAUACUUUUCUUAUGGCAUAUAAAAGUUUUAAUUUUUUUUAUUGUCUCAACUAACAUCAUAAAUGUCUUAAUGUUAAAAUCCAUGGGAUAUUCUAUUUAAAAUUUUAGCUUUAUCACCUUUGUGCUAUCAGAGAAUGUGCUUUGAACUGGUAAAAUGAGUUAAAGUAUUGGAAAACACUUAUGUCAGCAGAGGCUCUUAAAAAUCAUUUUCAUCCUUCCUCUUCUAGUGAUGAUUUUUUUUUAACCCAUGUUUUCACCAGUCUACCAAUCCAAUGGCAUAAAUGCUCCUACAUAGGCAACUUAAGUGUUUCUUAAGUUGAUGCAAGGUAUUUUGCAUGAGGCUGAAUUCUUGUUGUCGGAGCAGAGGAUUUUUGUUCCAACUACUGAAUUGGCAAAAUGUUAAAUAUAAAAACACCUCAAAAAGUCAAA
ensembl:lncRNA SNHG30 small nucleolar RNA host gene 30